rnacentral:rRNA from 1 species
GGACCCGCACAAGCAGUGGAGCAUGUGGUUUAAUUCGAAGAUACGCGCAGAACCUUACCAACACUUGACAUGUUCGUCGCGAAACUAAGAGAUUAGUUUUUUCAGUUCGGCUGGACGAAACACAGGUGCUGCAUGGCUGUCGUCAGCUCGUGUCGUGAGAUGUUGGUUAAGUCCCGCAACGAGCGCAACCCCUACUUUUAGUUGCCACCAUUUAGUUGGGCACUCUAGCGAGACCGCCGGUGAUAAACCGGAGGAAGGUGUGGAUGACGUCAAGUCAUCAUGCCCCUUACAUCCUGGGCUACACACGUACUACAAUGCUACGGACAAAGGGCAGCAAACUCGCGAGAGCUAGCAAA